UUAGGAAAGCUUCCAGGAAGAGGUACUGCUUGCAUUGAAGUUUCAAAUAUGAAUAAGACAACAGUUAAAGGGAUGUGGUAUGAGAAAGAGAACAGAAACAGCCAAUCCCUUUUGGAAAUCACAUCAUUUGCCCAAGGUGGACUGAGGCUGCACUGCAAGGAUCCGAGAGCAGUCUGGAAAGUGAGGGCCCUUCCAGGACACAGGACAUCACCCUGCUCAGGAUGAGUACCUGUGGCUGUGACGGAAUGAGGCCAAAAUAUUUGAGGAGCUUCUUUUGCCCUGGGCUUCAGAGAGAUUGCACCAGAAAGUCAGAAGUAAAACAGAACUCCAACUGUAUUACCCACAAAGUCACUCAAUGCACCCUGGGUUAAGGAAAGUUUAUGUACAGUCAGAAUUGAUGCAAGGGCACGAGGGAAGCAGACACAAUGAAGCAACACCUCUGAGCUGGUGGGAGAAUUGGACUUGGACUUGAAAUACCAGGAGAGCCUUUAGUCUCCCUCCCAGGACUGGUUUUAGGAUGAACGUAGAUAGUGUUUAAGUGUAAAAUUGUCACAUGAAUGACAAAAUAUUGUCAUUCAUAUAUGAUUUUUAGAAUACAAAUACUAAAAAUCAUAAACCAAGGAA